rnacentral:rRNA from 1 species
GACGAACGCUGGCGGCGUGCUUAACACAUGCAAGUCGAACGGAAAGGCCCUGCUUUUGUGGGGUGCUCGAGUGGCGAACGGGUGAGUAACACGUGAGUAACCUGCCCUUGACUUUGGGAUAACUUCAGGAAACUGGGGCUAAUACCGGAUAGGAGCUCCUGCUGCAUGGUGGGGGUUGGAAAGUUUCGGCGGUUGGGGAUGGACUCGCGGCUUAUCAGCUUGUUGGUGGGGCAGUGGCUUACCAAGGCUUUGACGGGUAGCCGGCCUGAGAGGGUGACCGGCCACAUGGGGACUGAGAUACGGCCCAGACUCCUACGGGAGGCAGCAGUGGGGAAUAUUGCACAAUGGGCGGAAGCCUGAUGCAGCAACGCCGCGUGCGGGAUGACGGCCUUCGGGUUGUAAACCGCUUUCGCCUGUGACGAAGCGUGAGUGACGGUAAUGGGUAAAGAAGCACCGGCUAACUACGUG